GGCGCGGUAGCUCAGUUGGUUAGAGCGAACGACUCAUAAUCGUUAGGUCGGGAGUUCAAGUCUCCCUCACGCCA
rnacentral:tRNA from 1 species